rnacentral:tRNA from 1 species
ACCAAAGUGGCGGAAUUGGCAGACGCGCUGCGUUCAGGUCGCAGUGUUCGCAAGGACGUGAGGGUUCGAAUCCCUCCUUUGGUA